GCCUCGGUAGUGUAAUGAAUCAGCACGGCAGACCGGAUAUCUGUAAGUGCGGGUUUGAAUCCCGCCUGAGGUU
rfam:Dictyocaulus viviparus strain HannoverDv2000 D_viviparus-1.0_Cont12.82, whole genome shotgun sequence.